AUGGCGGCGGAGUCGUUGGUACGAUGUAGUCGUCGGCGAUGGCCGGAGCCGGAGCCGAAGGCCCAUCAUGGUUUGCAGUGGUGGUCGGAGCCGAGGGUCCAGCCUGGUGCACCGUUGGUGCUCGCCCACGGAGCGGGCGGUUGCCUUGGCGUGCGUACCCACGGCAGCGGUUCUGGCGGUGGUUCCAGGCGAAAAAGCGGCGGCGAGGGCCACUCCUUGCACCAAGUCCCCGACGGCGACGGCGACUUGCAGCACGGUGGCGAUGGGUGCAUGGAAAGCGACGAUUCUUUCUCUGGAGGAAGCGUGCAAUGGCGAAAGCAAGCGACGGCAGGACAACUUGGAACAACUUGUGUGUCCCUCUCAGAUUCCUACAGAAGAAAGGAUGCAUUUUCUUUUCUAUUGGAUGGACAACAACAUAACCACAACAAUAGGUCUAUCAGAAGAAGCAGGAGCGAAGCAAAGGCAGGAUUCCAUGAUGAGUUUGGAGUUUACCCUCUGUUCUUGGAAAUUGAAAUUGUCUCUCAUGCGAGCGGCGACCUUUUCUUAGCCAUGUGGCAUGCCGCUCCAAGCCACUCCGCUUUCCAUCAAUGCCGACAACCACAGCAGGGGUGGAUCCAGCCGACAAGAGGCAGAGCGGCGGUCAAUGGUGGUGGCCUGCUCCCAAGCUGCAGUGCUUUGGAGAAGAUGAACAUGAGGCCCCAACCUGCACUGGCAUAG
rnacentral:rRNA from 1 species